rnacentral:lncRNA from 1 species
UUGAUUCUCACAGGAGGCCCUUUGCCAACAUGUGAAGCAAAAAGUAACUAAGGAACGACUUUAGUUCCUCCUCUUCUUUGCCCUUAGCAUCCUUGCCUUUAUUAUCUUUGCCCUUAAAAUCCUUGCCCUUAGCAUCACCUCUACUAUUACCAUCACAUAUUAGCCUCACCUGUUAGGCUCAUUCUUCACAUACCUUAUUGGUC